rnacentral:rRNA from 1 species
UCGGGAAUUUUGGGCAAUGGGCGAAAGCCUGACCCAGCAACGCCGCGUGAAGGAUGAAGUAUUUCGGUAUGUAAACUUCGAAAGAAUAGGAAGAAUCAAUGACGGUACUAUUUAUAAGGUCCGGCUAACUACGUGCCAGCAGCCGCGGUAAUACGUAGGGACCAAGCGUUGUUCGGAUUUACUGGGCGUAAAGGGCGCGUAGGCGGCAAUUCAAGUCAUCUGUGAAAUCUCCGGGCUUAACUCGGAACGGUCAGAUGAUACUGCUUUGCUAGAGUGCAGAAGGGGCAAUCGGAAUUCUUGGUGUAGCGGUGAAAUGCGUAGAUAUAGGAAGGAACACCAGUGGCGAAGGCGACCACCUGGACUGAUACUGACACUGAGGUGCGAAAGCGUGGGGAGCAAACAGGAUUAGAUACCCAAGUAGUCCCUGAG